ACUGCUGCUGAGAAAACCUUCUGGUUCACUAGAUUCAGUGAUAAUGAACCUGUGGAUCUGAGAGCAGACUCAGAGUAUUCAGGUCGUGUUCAGUAUCACUGUGGGGAGAACGACUGCACUCUGAGAAUCACAGACCUGAGAGAGAGCGACUCAGCUGAGUACAAGUUCAGGUUCAUUACAAACCAACCAGGAGGGAAAUAUACAGGUGAACCUGGAGUCACUUUGUCUGUCACAGGUUUACAGGUGAAGAUGAGCGAAUCAAAAGGGUGCAGAACUUAUCCCUGUACAUGGUCACGUCUCACGUGUCACAGCAGUUGUCCUCUACCUGAUCAUCCGUCCUACAUCUGGUACGAGAGUGGAAAGAAUAUUCAGAAAGAUGCACAUUCUUUUCCAGCAUACUUUUAUGGUGAAAACAGUUAUGCCUGUGCUGUAAAAGGACACGAGGAUUUCCCCUCUCCUUCAGUGUGUGUCCAUGGUUCUUCAUGCAACAGAGUGACUUACACUGACAGAAGCAUCUGUGCCUUUAAAGGCUCUUCAGUUGACAUUUCUUGCACUUACAGCAGUUAUCAAUCUAUCAAAUCUAA